AGCGAACGCUGGCGGCAGGCCUAACACAUGCAAGUCGAACGAAGUCUUCGGACUUAGUGGCGGACGGGUGAGUAACACGUGGGAACGUGCCUUUAGGUUCGGAAUAACCCAGGGAAACUUGUGCUAAUACCGAAUGUGCCCUUCGGGGGAAAGAUUUAUCGCCUUUAGAGCGGCCCGCGUCUGAUUAGCUAGUUGGUGAGGUAAAGGCUCACCAAGGCGACGAUCAGUAGCUGGUCUGAGAGGAUGAUAAGCCACAUUGGGACUGAGACACGGCCCAAACUCCUACGGGAGGCAGCAGUGGGGAAUCUUGCGCAAUGGGCGAAAGCCUGACGCAGCCAUGCCGCGUGAAUGAUGAAGGUCUUAGGAUUGUAAAAUUCUUUCACCGGGGACGAUAAUGACGGUACCCGGAGAAGAAGCCCCGGCUAACUUCGUGCCAGCCGCCGCGGUAAAAC
rnacentral:rRNA from 1 species